GUAAAGCUAUAAAAUGACUGUGGCCUGCCACAGAAGAUGAAGAUGAGGAAGAAGAGGAAUGCUCUCGAGGAUAAAUGCAGAGUGGCAGGUUACCUUCGGUCCUUCAUUGAAAAUGCAUCUUGUGCACAACAAAAAGCCCUCAUCAAGUUUUGGACAGGAUGGGAAGUCUUGCCGAGAAAUGACUGUGGAAGUGGUCAACAGCAAUCUUCCAAAGUCUUCCACCGGUUUUGAAGUACUACGUCUUCCUGCACACUACUGUACCUAUGAGUCAUUUCUAAUGGACAUUCAGGUGUGUCUCAACUCUGACUCAGGUUUUGGUCUGGUUUACGAUUGAUUCCAUAACCACAUGGUAAAAUUAGACCAUUUCUUCUUUCUUGCAUCACAUUACUGUACUUGGUGUUCAAAGAAACGGACAAUCUAGUGAGUUCUAGUUCUUUUUAAUACACUUGACAGUGAAAAAUACAGAGUACAGGUGUGCAUUUAUGGCUUUUUUUAAUAUAAACUGAUGAAGAGUUCAGAUAUCAAAAUCAGUUGUUCACUGUACAUUAUAAAUUACACAGUAUGUUUUGUUUAUACUCGCUACUGAUACAAAAAAAAUUUCUAGAAAAAAUUAUUUGAAUUAAGAUGUUACACUACUGUACUGUGUUCAUUGUAUUAAAUCUGCUCAGAGUUGACAUGUACUGUAUAUCCAACCAAGAGAUGAAUAUCAUUAAAGUGACAGC
ensembl:lncRNA